GAAGGAAGAACAAGGAGGGGGAGGAGGGAUGGCAGACAAGGUUAACAUAUAUAGUUGUAAUAUCUGAGAGACCACACAAGUUCGAUGAAUGCUUUCAAUUCCAGUUUCUCCAUGGUUUCCCAAUGCCAAAGAUUUUAUUAUGAAGCUAAGCUUCUAGACACACAUCUGUUCUGGUAGUUAUUUGUAUGAGUUGACAUUCA